UACGUAUGGGGCGAGCGUUGUUCGGAAUUAUUGGGUGUAAAGGGCGUCUAGGCGGGAGAUUAAGUUAGAUGUGAAAGGCGUGGGCUUAACCCGCGAAUUGCAUCUAAAACUGGUUUUCUUGAGUUCGGGAGAGGAGAGCGGAAUUCUUGGUGUAGCGGUGAAAUGCGUAGAUAUCAAGAAGAACACCAGUGGCGAAGGCGGCUCUCUGGCCUAGAACUGACGCUGAAGCGCGAAAGCGUGGGUAGCGAACGGGAUUAGAUACCCGCGUAGUCCCUGA
rnacentral:rRNA from 1 species